rnacentral:rRNA from 1 species
CUAGAGAUAGAAGUUACUUCGGUACAUCGGUGACAGGUGGUGCAUGGUUGUCGUCAGCUCGUGUCGUGAGAUGUUGGGUUAAGUCCCGCAACGAGCGCAACCCCUAUUGUUAGUUGCCAUCAUUCAGUUGGGCACUCUAGCGAGACUGCCGGUAAUAACCGGAGGAAGGUGGGAUGACGUCAAAUCAUCAUGCCCCUUAUGACCUGGGCUACACACGUGCUACAAUGGUUGGUACAACGAGUUGCGAGUCGGUGACGGCGAGCUAAUCUCUUAAAGCCAAUCUCAGUUCGGAUUGUAGGCUGCAACUCGCCUACAUGAAGUCGGAAUCGCUAGUAAUCGCGGAUCAGCACGCCGCGGUGAAUACGUUCCCGGGCCUU